rfam:Listeria floridensis FSL S10-1187 c7, whole genome shotgun sequence.
AAAUCCUUUAAAUGUAGUCCAGAGAGGCUAAGAAGGGAACGCUAUUUGUACGGGGGCAAAACUGUCUUCAUGCAAAUCAUUAGCUACGCGUAUACCCUUUGCCGUCUCGGUAAAGGUUUUUUUGUGU